rnacentral:rRNA from 2 species
ACUGACGNUGAGACUCGAAAGCAUGGGUAGCGAACAGGAUUAGAUACCCUGGUAGUCCAUGCCGUAAACGAUGAGUGCUAGGUGUUGGAGGGUUUCCGCCCUUCAGUGCCGGAGCUAACGCAUUAAGCACUCCGCCUGGGGAGUACGACCGCAAGGUUGAAACUCAAAGGAAUUGACGGGGGCCCGCACAAGCGGUGGAGCAUGUGGUUUAAUUCGAAGCUACGCGAAGAACCUUACCAGGUCUUGACAUCUUGCGCCAACCCUAGAGAUAGGGCGUUUCCUUCGGGAACGCAAUGACAGGUGGUGCAUGGUCGUCGUCAGCUCGUGUCGUGAGAUGUUGGGUUAAGUCCCGCAACGAGCGCAACCCUUGUUACUAGUUGCCAGCAUUAAGUUGGGCACUCUAGUGAGACUGCCGGUGACAAACCGGAGGAAGGUGGGGACGACGUCAGAUCAUCAUGCCCCUUAUGACCUGGGCUACACACGUGCUACAAUGGACGGUACAACGAGUCGCGAACUCGCGAGGGCAAGCAAAUCUCUUAAAACCGUUCUCAGUUCGGACUGCAGGCUGCAACUCGCCUGCAC